CACCCCAGCGUCUUCUCGGGCUAGGCGCUCAGCGCGGCCGGGGGCUUUGCACCAUCUCCUCCCUGCCAGUCCGGAGCGCGGCGCAUUUUCCGCCGGGCUUUGCUCAGCGUUACCGAUUAACCCGGGUGCGGGCCGGGGACGGGCUGGGUAC